UUUACUCCAAAUACCUGAGCAAAGGUGAAAGUGAAAGGUGUGUCUCAGUACAGGACUGAGGUGUAGAUUGUUCUGUAAAAACAUGUAGAUAUGCACAUAUAGUGACUAUUAGAGUGGUUAUGGAUUUAAAUAAACUAUUUUGAAAGUGAAGUGGAGGACGUGAAGACCAGUAAAGUUAAAAUGGCAGAGUCCAGAGUUCAUAAUCAGUUUAAACUCACCUCAGAAAACUAUGUGUGGGCCGAUGUUGGUAAAGAGGUCACCCUCCCCUGUCACCUCUCACCUGACACCAGUGCUGUUGCCACGACGAUCAGGUGGUUUAAAGAGAGAGAGUGUAUUUACCUGUAUAAGAAUGGCCAGGUGACAGAGAGGAGUGACUAUGAGGGCAGAGUGAGUCUGAUCACCCAGGAGCUGAAGAGAGGCAACGUGUCUCUGAGGCUGAGAGACUUCAGGGAGUCAGAUACAGGAGUCUACAUCUGUCAGGUCAUCCAUGGAGAACAGAAGGAGGAGGCUGCAGUGGGUUUAUUGGUCAGAAGAGCAUUGCGACAACUAUUUGAUGAGGCAUUUGUCUCAGGAUCACGGUAUUUACAACCUGAGACCCAGGAGGACAAGCUGAAGAGGGAGGCAUCAGCUGGUGAGCUUGAGUUGAAGAUGGAAAAAGAAUUAAAAGAGAUAUUAAGAGAGGAGAUGAUGAAACAACUAGAGGAGAAAGACACACAACUGGAUGAUAUGACCCAGGAAGUGAGAGAGAAAGACACACAACUGGAUGAUAUGACCCAGGAAGUGAGAGAGAAAGACACACAACUGGAUGAUAUGACCCAGGAAGUGAGAGAGAAAGAGAGACUCCUGGAGGAGAAGAACCAGAUAAUGGAACAGAGGGACAAACAAUUAGAAGAGAAAGAAAACCAACUGGAAGAGAAAGACAAGCAACUAAAGGAUAGAGACAUUCAACUAGAGGCUCUGAGAAAGAACCUGCAGGACAAGAACAGCAAAGUAGAGAACUUCAGAGUCCUACUGCAGGAAAAAGACCUUCAACUAGAGGACAGGAACCACAGACUGGGAGAGAAGGACAAACUACUGGAAGAGAGAGACAAACUACUGCAGGAAAAAGACCUUCAACUAGAGGACAGGAACCACAGACUGGGAGAGAAGGACAGACUACUGGAAGAGAGAGACAAACUACUGCAGGAAAAAGACCUUCAACUAGAGGACAGAAAUCACAGACUGGGAGAGAAGGACAGACUACUGGAAGAGAGAGACAAACUACUGGAAGAGAGAGACAAACGACUGGAAGAGAGAGACAAACUACUGGAGGGAAAAGAAAACAAACUAAAAGAGAGGAGACAGGAAGUAGAAGAGAGGAGACAGGAAGUAGAAGAGAAAGACAACCUACUAGAGGAGAGAGAGAACCAGCUAAAGGAAAGAGACAAACAGGUGGAGGAUGUCAACAAUGAAAAUGCUGAACUGGCUCAACAGAUAUGUGAUGUGAAGACUGAGGUAGAGAGACUGAGAAGAGAGAUCUCAGCCCAGAUGACUGAACAUGGAGAGCUGUCAGAAACAGGUUCCAUCCUCCCAGUCAGGAGGAGAGACAGCAAGGACCUUCCUCCAUCCAUGAGAGGAGAGACCUCAGAUACAGACCCCACACUUCCACUGAGGAGGAGACACAGCAUGGAGUUACCUCCUCCAUCUAUGGGAGGAGAGAGCAGCAGUCCAGACUCCCCACUGUCUCCCAGUGUGUCUGAGCUGAGACUGGUGCUGCUGGGGAGGACUGGGGCUGGGAGGGGUGCAGCAGGAAACACCAUCCUGGGCAGAGAGGAGUUUGGGGCCCAGGCCAGCCCCUCUGCAGUGACCCAGAGGAGUAAGAGGAGAGAGGGGGAUGUGUGUGGGAGACGGCUGGUGCUGGUGGACACUCCAGACUGGUUCUGUCCUGGACUCUCUCUGGAGGAGAUGAGACAGGAUGUGGGGCUCUGUGUCCGUCUGUCUGCCCCGGGACCCCAUGCCUUCCUCCUGGUCAUACCAGUGGAGCCCUCUAAGGGGGAGGAGAGAGGGGUGUUGGAGAGAAUAGAGGAGAUGUUUGGGGAGGGUUGUUGGGGACACACUGUGAUUCUAUUCACCCAUGAUGAUGGACUGAAAGAGCAGAGCAUUGAGGAGUUUCUCCAAGCAGGAAGUCAGGACCUCCAGCAGCUUGUAGAGAAAAGUGGGAGCAGGUACCACGUCCUCAAUAUUAAGGACAGGGCCCAUGGCACUCAGGUAUCAGAGCUGCUGGUUCAGGUAGAGGAGAUGGUGGCAGGAAACAGAGAGAGAUUCUACAGCAGUCAGACCUACCAGGAGGCAGAGGACCAGGUUAGAGAGAUGGAGGGAAACAUCCAGAGAGAGAGAGGAGAGACGAAACAGAGGGAGGAGAGAGACUUGAGAGAGAGGCUUGAGAAGGAGUUGCAGGACUCUCUGAUAAAGAUAGAGGGAGUGAUCCAGGAACAUGAGGGAGAUAUCAGAACACUCAGUGAAAGAACCAGUGAACUGGAGAGACAGGUGAAAGAAGAGAGGGAUGAGGAGAAGAAAAGAGAGCUGGAGAGGGAGCUGAAGAGGGAGUCUGUCAGGAGGGAGGAGAUGGAGAGAAAGCUGGAGAGAUUUAGAGAGAAGAGAGAGAAUGAGAGGAGGGAGAUGGAGGAGAGACACAGACAGGUGAUGGAGAACUAUGAAGGAGAAGCCAGAGUUGAAGCAGAGAGAAACCUGAUGAAGAUAGUCCUGCCUGAGUUACAGAGGAACAUCAUGAUCUCACAGACAAAGAUACAGAGGGAGUUCAGCAGACAGAUGAAGGAGAAGGAUAGAGAGAUGGAGGGGGAGUUCAGCAGACAGAUGGAGGAGAAGAAUAGACAGAUGAAGGAGAAGGAUAGACAGAUGGAGGAGAAGGAUAGAGUGAUUGUGGAAAGGGAUGGAGAGAUAGAGGGACUGAUAGAAAGACUGUGGGAAAUGUGUAAAUGAGUUAUUGUAACUAGCCUGAAGAAGUGCUGGGAUACAUGGAGAUGUAGAAGAAGAGAGAGGAAGAAGACAGGGAGAACUGAUGAAGAUCUGAGGAAUGUUUGGGCAGAUGUAACCUAGUUCACCAUUUCACUGAAUUGGCCUGACAACGAGGUUAGAGACGAGAUGACUUUUUCAUGGAGGGAUUGGAGAAGCUAGAGAUAAUAACAUGAUAUUUAUCUGACAAUGUAAGAACAACCUGAUAGUCUGUCCUGUGAUGAGUGUCAUGGUGGGAGAACAGGUCAGAAUACUGAUCCUGUCUAGGUCAACCUGAUAGUCUGUCCUGUGAUGAGUGUCAUGGUGGGAGAACAGGUCAGAAUACUGAUCCUGUCUAGGUCAACCUGAUAGUCUGUCCUGUGAUGAGUGUCAUGGUGGGAGAACAGGUCAGAAUACUGAUCCUGUCUAGGUCAACCUGAUAGUCUGUCCUGUGAUGAGUGUCAUGGUGGGAGAACAGGUCAGAAUACUGAUCCUGUCUAGGUCAACCUGAUAGUCUGUCCUGUGAUGAGUGUCAUGGUGGGAGAACAGGUCAGAAUACUGAUCCUGUCUAGGUCAACCUGAUAGUCUGUCCUGUGAUGAGUGUCAUGGUGGGAGAACAGGUCAGAAUACUGAUCCUGUCUAGGUCAACCUGAUAGUCUGUCCUGUGAUGAGUGUCAUGGUGGGAGAACAGGUCAGAAUACUGAUCCUGUCUAGGUCAACCUGAUAGUCUGUCCUGUGAUGAGUGUCAUGGUGGGAGAACAGGUCAGAAUACUGAUCCUGUCUAGGUCAACCUGAUAGUCUGUCCUGUGAUGAGUGUCAUGGUGGGAGAACAGGUCAGAAUACUGAUCCUGUCUAGGUCAACCUGAUAGUCUGUCCUGUGAUGAGUGUCAUGGUGGGAGAACAGGUCAGAAUACUGAUCCUGUCUAGGUCAACCUGAUAGUCUGUCCUGUGAUGAGUGUCAUGGUGGGAGAACAGGUCAGAAUACUGAUCCUGUCUAGGUCAACCUGAUAGUCUGUCCUGUGAUGAGUGUCAUGGUGGGAGAACAGGUCAGAAUACUGAUCCUGUCUAGGUCAACCUGAUAGUCUGUCCUGUGAUGAGUGUCAUGGUGGGAGAACAGGUCAGAAUACUGAUCCUGUCUAGGUCAACCUGAUAGUCUGUCCUGUGAUGAGUGUCAUGGUGGGAGAACAGGUCAGAAUACUGAUCCUGUCUAGGUCAAAAUCUGUACUUCUGCCCCUGAGCAAGGCAGUUAACCGAAUGAUCUCUGGGCGCUGAAGACGCGGAUGUCGAUUAUGCCCCCCCCCACCUCUGAUUCAGAGGGGUUGGGUUAAAUGCAUAAGACACAUUUCAGUUGAAUAAAUUCAGUUGGAAACCCCCUUUUACAGUGUCUAGAGAGAGAGGGAGGGAGGUCUGUAAAGAUAUUGAUGAGAUUUAACACAGAAUUCCAAACCAACGUAGAUUA